CUACGGGGGGCACCAGCAGGGAAUUUUGCGCAAUGGGCGAAAGCCUGACGCAGCAACGCCGCGUGGGGGAUGAAGGCCUUCGGGUUGUAAACCCCUUUCAGGAGGGAAGAAAUUGACGGUACCUCCAGAAGAAGCACCGGCCAACUACGUGCCAGCAGCCGCGGUAAUACGUAGGGUGCGAGCGUUAUCCGGAAUCAUUGGGCGUAAAGAGCUCGUAGGCGGUUCAGCAAGUCGGCUGUGAAAGUCCGAGGCUCAACCUCGGAAUUGCAGUCGAUACUGCUGUGACUCGAGUCCGGUAGAGGAGAACGGAAUUCCCGGUGUAGCGGUGAAAUGCGCAGAUAUCGGGAGGAACACCAGUAGCGAAGGCGGUUCUCUGGGCCGGCACUGACGCUGAGGAGCGGAAGCGUGGGGAGCGAACAGGAUUAGAUACCCUUGUAGUC
rnacentral:rRNA from 1 species